rnacentral:rRNA from 1 species
AAAGCGAGGAAAAGAAACCAACAGGGAUUGCCCCAGUAAUGGCGAAUGAAGCGGCAAGAGCCCAAAUUUGAAAUCGGGCAACCGAGUUGUAAUUUGGAGACGGGACACUAGAGAGGAGGAAGGCGAUUAAGUGCCUUGGAACAGGCUGCCGUAGAGGGUGAGAGCCCCGUGAAUCGCUGGAGACCGAUCAAUUAGUGCCCGCCGAAGAGUCGAGUUGUUUGGGAAUGCAGCUCUAAGUGGGUGGUAUAUUCCAUCUAAGGCUAAAUAUUAGCGAGAGACCGAUAGCAAACAAGUACAGUGAUGGAAAGAUGAAAAGAACUUUGGAAAGAGAGUGAAAUAGUACGUGAAAUUGUUGAAAGGGAAGGGUAUUUGAUCCGACAUGGUGUUUAGCAGCGGCCCGUUCCUCGUGGAUGGGUGCACCUGGUUUACACUGGGCCAGCAUCGGUUCUGGGAGCCAUAUACGGGGUUCGUGAAUGUGGCCCUUCGAUUCUGUCGGAGGGUGUUAUAGCGCGGACAUCUUGUGGCUAGCCGGGACCGGGGACUGCGGUGACUUGUCACCAAGGAUGCUGGCAGAACGAGCAAAUACCACCCGUC